UGAGAUUUGAUCCUGGCUCAGACGAACGCUGGCGGCGUGCUUAACACAUGCAAGUCGAGCGGUAAGGCCCUUCGGGGUACACGAGCGGCGAACGGGUGAGUAACACGUGGGUGAUCUGCCCUGCACUUCGGGAUAAGCCUGGGAAACUGGGUCUAAUACCGGAUAUGACCAAGGACUGCAUGGUUUUUGGUGGAAAGGUUUACUGGUGCAGGAUGGGCCCGCGGCCUAUCAGCUUGUUGGUGGGGUAAUGGCCUACCAAGGCGACGACGGGUAGCCGACCUGAGAGGGUGACCGGCCACACUUGACUGAGACACGGCCCAGACUCCUACGGGAGCAGCAGUGGGGAAUAUUGCACAAUGGGCGAAAGCCUGAUGCAGCGACGCCGCGUGAGGGAUGACGGCCUUCGGGUUGUAACCU
rnacentral:rRNA from 1 species